GUCGGUGGAAGGCUGGUUAAACCGUUUGGUUUUCGACCACUAGAACGCGGGUUCAAUUCCCGCAUUGGACA